AGAUAAGACCUUGGCCCUCAACUCACAUAGCCUAGUAACGACCUGCUGGGAGGCCUCACUCAGUCAAUUCCCUUCCCUCUGGGCCCAUUUCCUCACUGGUGAAAUAAAAAAAAGAACAUCAGCUGAUCUCUAUGGACCUUGCCAGCACCAAGAUGCUGAAUCCUUCUCAUUCUUCCUUUCUCCCUUCUCAUUUCUCUCACUUCCUUUCUCCCAUCUUCUCAACCCUCCUUUCCUUUAAAAAAGAUUUAUUGCCACCUCCCAUAUGCUUGGAUAUUGAGGGAUGCAAAGAUUCCAGACACACGCCUUGCCACUGGGCCAGACCCUGGGGCUAGUUCACUCUAGAGUGUCCGUGGGCAAAGGGAAAGGGCAUCUCAGGUGGAGGGAACAUGUGGGCAAAGGCCCAGAGGCAAGAAAGUGGAGGGCAAGUUCAAGGAAUUCAGUUCAGUCCACUUUCACCAAUACCUGCUUGAGCCGCACCAGGUGUGAGAGCCUAGGCCUGAAUCUGACAGAUCCCCUGCCCUUGCAGAGCUCAGAAUGCAGGGGAUCCAGGAAGGAGUUCACAGAAGAGAAACUGGAUCAAGGAGUCCUUGAGUUUGAACUUUGUUCUGCCUUCUUAGCAGCCUUCUACCUCCUGGCUCUCCAUCUGCUUCUCUAGGAAGGAGGAUGGAUGAGGACCCAUGGGACGACAUCAGGCAACCUGACACCAGAUACAUCAGUGGGGUGGACCCCACAGGGCUAUGGCUGUCCCAGCUGCCACUGGCCUCUCCCCACCUGCCCUUGGGGUAAGGGCUCCGCAGUCAUUCUCAUUCCCUCUGUCUUCCCCAGUCCCCAGGCCAGGUGACCACAUUCUGCCUCAAUUCCACUGCCGCCACCCUGGACCAGUCCUCCAUCGCUAUUCAUCUGGAUGACUCCAGCCGCCUCCUAACUGGUCUCCCUGAUUCCUUCCUCUCUGGAUUCCUCCAGUCCAGAAUUAUUUUAUCAAGGCUGUCAUUCUCCUGUUUAAAUCUCAUCAAUGACUUCUUUAUAUCACUUGUCCAGCCACACUGGACACCCCCAGCUCUGCACAAAACAUCCUUCCCACCUUUAAGCAUGCCAUUCCUUCUGCCCAGGAUAGCCUCUCUCCCAGUCUCACUUAUCCUCCAGAUCUCCACCAACUGUCACAUCCCGAAGAAGGCUCCCCUGACCACGUGUCCUUCCCCU
rnacentral:lncRNA from 1 species